GAUGAACGCUGGCGGCGUGCCUAAUACAUGCAAGUCGAGCGAACGGACGAGAAGCUUGCUUCUCUGAUGUUAGCGGCGGACGGGUGAGUAACACGUGGAUAACCUACCUAUAAGACUGGGAUAACUUCGGGAAACCGGAGCUAAUACCGGAUAAUAUUUUGAACCGCAUGGUUCAAAAGGGAAAGACGGUCUUGCUGGCACUUAUAGAUGGAUCCGCGCUGCAUUAGCUAGUUGGUAAGGUAACGGCUUACCAAGGCAACGAUGCAUAGCCGACCUGAGAGGGUGAUCGGCCACACUGGAACUGAGACACGGUCCAGACUCCUACGGGAGGCAGCAGUAGGGAAUCUUCCGCAAUGGGCGAAAGCCUGACGGAGCAACGCCGCGUGAGUGAUGAAGGUCUUCGGAUCGUAAAACUCUGUUAUUAGGGAAGAACAUAUGUGUAAGUAACUGUGCACAUCUUGACGGUACCUAAUCAGAAAGCCACGGCUAACUACGUG
rnacentral:rRNA from 1 species